GGGGGCUAUUCUUCCUAGGGCAGAGGCACAAGUAUCUUCGAGGUCUUACCCUUCCUGCCAGCCAAAGAGGUUCAUCCAGGCCUUACCCGAGAGAGAGACUGCGCUGACCGGUCAAGAGAAAAUCUACAAGAGACCUGAAUCAGCAGUGUUAUAAAGCACAUAGCCAACGCUAAUUAAUAAAGAAUUUAAGCAUAAUAGCCCAGACGUACCAUGGCCUAUAGCUGGUAGAAACGGAGCUAUCCUACGGCCUACAAGAUAAAAGCAUAUGGCACCAAAUUGGAAUCAGUAGUCUUUAAAAGAAUAAAUGGACUAGCAACUGUCUCUGGGGGAGCAGCCCCGGUUAGGUACUAUUAAGCAGCAUAGCAACUGUCUCUGGGGGAGCAGCCCCGGUUAGGUACUAUUAAGCAGCAUUUAGUGACAUGCAUCAAAACACAUUUUUUAAAACUUUGACAGAAUAAAGUCUUAGUUAUUUUAAUAAAUAUGUUUUUCAGUAAAUGUUUAUUCACGCGCAUGCGGACAAACACACACCCCGGAGGUCAAACUAAAAAAAAGUUGAUACAAACUACAGUUGUAUCGGACACGCACACAAAAACACGAGAGUUUGCUCAAUCAAAAAACACCAAACAUAUAUAGUUCACGUUUUUUAUUAAAAUGUAUAAGGAUUGUUUUCUUAUAGCGAAAUUUUAAAUUAAUAUGAGUGGGAUAUAAGUCAUUUAGGCAACAGGAUUUGAGGAAGAACCUAAAUAGCAGCUAGAAAUGACCGACCAGGCAGGCAGAAGUCUGCUUUUCUUAUCUCACAAGUCAUGGAAGGGUGGGAGGGGGGCCACAUAAGUGUAGGGUAGGAACUGUGGAAUCAGGCAGGGGUGCAAGAAUUUAGGAUAUAGUCUUGUUAUUUUAAAGAAGGUGUACAUGAUUAUUUAAUUACAUUUAAUAG